UACAGAGGGGGCCAGCGUUAUUCGGAAUUAUUGGGCGUAAAGGGCGCGUAGGCGGCUUUGCGUGUCUUCCGUGAAAUCCCUCGGCUCAACUGAGGACGUGCGGAAGAAACUGCAGGGCUGGAGUCCGGGAGAGGAGGGUGGAAUUCCCAGUGUAGCGGUGAAAUGCGUAGAUAUUGGGAGGAACACCGGUGGCGAAGGCGGCCCUCUGGACCGGUACUGACGCUGAUGCGCGAAAGCGUGGGGAGCAAACGGG
rnacentral:rRNA from 1 species